AGCCCGGUGGUAAACUGC
rnacentral:misc_RNA from 1 species